AUGAACGCUGGCGGCGUGCCUAAUACAUGCAAGUCGAGCGCACAGACGAGGAGCUUGCUCCUCUGACGUUAGCGGCGGACGGGUGAGUAACACGUGGAUAACCUACCUAUAAGACUGGGAUAACUUCGGGAAACCGGAGCUAAUACCGGAUAAUAUAUUGAACCGCCUGGUUCAAUAGUGAAAGACGGUUUUGCUGUCACUUAUAGAUGGAUCCGCGCCGCAUUAGCUAGUUGGUAAGGUAACGGCUUACCAAGGCAACGAUGCGUAGCCGACCUGAGAGGGUGAUCGGCCACACUGGAACUGAGACACGGUCCAGACUCCUACGGGAGGCAGCAGUAGGGAAUCUUCCGCAAUGGGCGAAAGCCUGACGGAGCAACGCCGCGUGAGUGAUGAAGGUCUUCGGAUCGUAAAACUCUGUUAUUAGGGAAGAACAAAUGUGUAAGUAACUAUGCACGUCUUGACGGUACCUAAUCAGAAAGCCACGGCUAACUACGUG
rnacentral:rRNA from 1 species